rnacentral:rRNA from 1 species
CUGAUGCGUUGUUGGGUAGGGGAGCGUUCUGUAAGCCUGUGAAGGUGGCCUGUGAGGGUUGCUGGAGGUAUCAGAAGUGCGAAUGCUGACAUAAGUAACGAUAAAGCGGGUGAAAAGCCCGCUCGCCGGAAGACCAAGGGUUCCUGUCCAACGUUAAUCGGGGCAGGGUGAGUCGACCCCUAAGGCGAGGCCGAAAGGCGUAGUCGAUGGGAAACGGGUUAAUAUUCCCGUACUUGGUGUUACUGCGAAGGGGGGACGGAGAAGGCUAUGUUGGCCGGGCGACGGUUGUCCCGGUUUAAGCGUGUAGGUGUGUGUUCCAGGUAAAUCCGGUUCACUUUAACACUGAGGCGUGAUGACGAGGCACUACGGUGCUGAAGCAACAAAUGCCCUGCUUCCAGGAAAAGCCUCUAAGCAUCAGGUAACAUCAAAUCGUACCCCAAACCGACACAGGUGGUCAGGUAGAGAAUACCAAGGCGCUUGAGAGAACUCGGGUGAAGGAACUAGGCAAAAUGGUGCCGUAACUUCGGGAGAAGGCACGCUGACACGUAGGUGAAGUGAUUUACUCAUGGAGCUGAAGUCAGUCGAAGAUACCAGCUGGCUGCAACUGUUUAUUAAAAACACAGCACUGUGCAAACACGAAAGUGGACGUAUACGGUGUGACGCCUGCCCGGUGCCGGAAGGUUAAUUGAUGGGGUCAGCGCAAGCGAAGCUCCUGAUCGAAGCCCCGGUAAACGGCGGCCGUAACUAUAACGGUCCUAAGGUAGCGAAAUUCCUUGUCGGGUAAGUUCCGACCUGCACGAAUGGCGUAAUGAUGGCCAGGCUGUCUCCACCCGAGACUCAGUGAAAUUGAACUCGCUGUGAAGAUGCAGUGUACCCGCGGCAAGACGGAAAGACCCCGUGAACCUUUACUAUAGCUUGACACUGAACAUUGAGCCUUGAUGUGUAGGAUAGGUGGGAGGCUUUGAAGUGUGGACGCCAGUCUGCAUGGAGCCGACCUUGAAAUACCACCCUUUAAUGUUUGAUGUUCUAACGUGGACCCGU